rnacentral:rRNA from 1 species
GACGAACGCUGGCGGCGUGCUUAACACAUGCAAGUCGAACGGACAGGCCCUGCUUUUGUGGGGUGCUCGUGUGGCGAACGGGUGAGUAACACGUGAGUAACAUGCCCUUGACUUUGGGAUAACUUUAGGAAACUGGGGCUAAUACAGGAUAGGAGCUCCUGCAGCACGGGGGGGGUUGGAAAGUUUCGGCGGUUGGGGAUGGACUAGCGGGUUAUCCGCUUGUUGGUGGGGUAGGGGCUUACCAAGGCUUCGACGGGUAGCCGGCCUGAGAGGGUGACCGGCCACAUUGGGACUGAGAUACGGCCCAGACUCCUACGGGAGGCAGCAGUGGGGAAUAUUGCACAAUGGGCGGAAGCCUGAUGCAGCAACGCCGCGUGCGGGAUGACGGCCUUCGGGUUGUAAACCGCUUUCGCCUGUGACGAAGCGUGAGUGACGGUAAUGGGUAAAGAAGCACCGGCUAACUACGUG